rnacentral:rRNA from 1 species
ACGGAGGAUGCAAGCGUUAUCCGGAAUAAUUGGGCGUAAAGCGUUCGUAGGUGGUUCUGUAAGUCUGCUGUUAAAGCGUGUAGCUCAACUACAUAUAGGCGGUGGAAACUACAAAACUUGAGUGCGUUCGGGGUAGAGGGAAUUCCUGGUGUAGCGGUGAAAUGCGUAGAGAUCAGGAAGAACACCGGUGGCGAAGGCGCUCUACUAGACCGCAACUGACACUGAGGGACGAAAGCUAGGGGAGCGAAUGGG